AUAAAAAUGCAGGUGACGAAAUGAAACGGGUCAAUACGCCCUGCAGGAAUGGCAGCUAAAGGAACGUAUCAGCAAAUACACACUUCAUUGGUAUGCCCAUAGUUAAAACGAGAUCGGCAAUGAACUUUGGAAGGAUGGCGCCUACGUGACGUUGACAACUGGAUAUUACUACGACGCGUAAAACAUUCCGAAUUGUUUUGGGGAAUUACGACGUUAACGAACACACCUGCUGUGUAUUGGAUAUCUACAUAUUUGAAAAGUGAUCGUGACCCUUCAUCUGGUCUUUUCUCUAAGUGAAAAACUUGCCAUGAACGGGUUUUUUUGUUUACAACAAGGUCGUCUUAAAAGAUAUACGUAGUCUUCUGAGGUGAAAACUUGAAUGGCAAGGUGGACACAAGAAAUCAGAUGUCUUUAUUUGCAUCGGCACGAAAACAGGAAAAUCCAGUUGGAUUCCGUUUACCAACUAAAGAUGGAUAUCAAUCAUCAAACAACAAAUUUAUUGCGGCCAGCAAAUGGGGACUACGUAUGGUAUGGCUGGACGGUCAAAGGAAAUGAGCCGUGUCAUGGUGAAGCGGCUUUGUUUUCCAUUUGGAUCUCACGCUGGGCCAAUAGCUACUGAAUUACACUUCUUAUUUUUCCUUCUCCCCAAUCUUUCUUUCUUCUCUCGAUUUUCGGCCGCUUGCCCGUCUCCCCUCCCGUCUCCGAGACAGAGUUGAUAGACAGUGAUAGAGAUUUCAUGAAAUGUAUGCAGACAUAAAGAAAAAAAAAAUACUGUUGACCUCUUUUAUUUAUUAUAUCGUUAACUUUAUAAUUUCCAGAUUUGUCACAAUGGAGAUCGAACUUCUGCUUUCCUUUUUUUCCAACACACUUCAAUUUCUUAAGAAAAUUCACAUGUCUAACGCUCUAUUUCCUUCGACGAGAUUUUAUCAACACGCUUAUUGAGAAGUAUCAUUUCUUUCAAAUAAAAAAACAAACAAA